GACGUAGGGCGCGAGCGUUGUCCGGAUUUAUUGGGCGUAAAGAGCUCGUAGGCGGCUCGUUGCGUCGGCUGUGAAAACCCGCAGCUCAACUGUGGGCUUGCAGCUGAUACGGGCGGGCUGGGAUUCGGUAGGGGAGACUGGAAUUCCUGGUGUAGCGGUGAAAUGACGCAGAUAUCAGGAGGAACACCGAUGGCGAAGGCAGGUCUCUGGGCAUUAACUGACGCUGAGGAGCGAAAGCAUGGGGAGCGAACAGG
rnacentral:rRNA from 1 species